UUUCUCAAGGAGCGCUGCGAGACUUUCUCCUUUAUUGAAAGCUCCCAGGCUUGAGAUAAAUCUUAACGGCGCUCACCACAC
rnacentral:ncRNA from 2 species